GAAUUCUUUCUAAGAUUAAUUUCAGAUUAAAAAAUAACAGAAUAGGUGCAGCCUGACACAUUCUUUUGCUGGGAUGAGCCCAUUUGCCGGGGUGGGAUGGAGGAGAACUCAGAGAUUAAAUCACAUGCAGACGAUUUCUCUGCCACGACACCGAGAGAACCAAAAAAGGAAAAAAGGCAGAACAGUGCUGCUAGAGGCUUGCUCCUCUACUUACUAACAGUCUAAUGCUCGGCAAUAUGGGACCUGGGUUACCAGGAACCUCUGAAGCAAGGGCACAGGCUGCCAUCAAUAGGUGGAAGGUAAGGAAGCAGAAGAACAGUAAGAGAAUUUCUUGGAGGCUUGGAAACAGAACUCUGCAUGGGGAAGCUUUCUUCCCGAAGUACUCGUGUAAGACCCAGGAAAGGAAGCUCAAGGUGUUCGCUUCCCACUUCAUCCACCCAAGCAAAGGCUGUUGGCUAGCUUAGGGGGCACAGGUCAAGCUGCAAUGCACUCAAGUUUCUCCUCCAAUACUUUGCUGGCACCUGCCAGAAUCUGCCACCUGCAGCAGCUACUUCAUUCCACCAAAUGUUAGGGCACCAGAACCAUCCUCCUUGAGUUCCAUCUAAGCUCACAUCUGCCCCCACAUCUUGUGGCAAUGAGUUCCACAGAUGAACUGUGUACUACCUGUGUCAAAAUCCUUCCGUUCGCCUGGCCUGCCUCUCCAGCCCCUUUCACCUGGGGUCCACAGACAACUCUAUCCACUUUGCCAUACCCAUUACACUUGCACAUAUUUUUUCUAAAACAACACCACCAAAAUGUCCCCAAACAUGUCCACCUUUCCCCAAAAUACCUUGCAUUGCAAGACAGCCAAAUAAUGUUGCUGGAAAGUGUUAUCAUUGCCUCUCACGCUACUGUGUGCUUUGCAGCUAUGCUCAGAGGAAUUCUGAGGAACGGGCAGGUGACAGCGUGAGUCACUGCCAGCCCUGGUUCCACUACGCCACCGUCUCUGACACUAUUAUUAAGUCUGGGAUCCAAACCUCAUGACAUUUAAGAGGCCCAUGGUGGGAUCUAACUGGUAUUGCUUACUGGGAAGGAGCUCUGGAGCUCCAAAUCUGAUUGCACCGGGAGAACAUUUAAUUCCGUUUCUCUUACCCUGGUCCCACCAUCAAAAUUGUCCCUAGUCUCCAAUCUGGAAACUUCAGGUAGCUCCUGGAGAGGAAAGUGAUGAUACAAGGUGUGUGGCUUGCCUGGAGGAUUCCCUGCUUUAAGGAUUCCUUCAUACCCAAAUCAUGGAGGAGACAUACAGGAACAAGCAGGAAUUUGUCAACUGAAAAGGAAAUUUAAAAUAAAAAUGGCAAUGCUUAGAGCAA